CACAAUAAUUACGUAUAAAUGCUUACGUACAGAGAAUGUGAGAUGACGUCAGGCUGCGCCGGAAGGAUAGUUCUCUGCUGGAGUUACUGGUUUUUAUGCCCCCCUGUUCAAUUUUUUGUCUGAACGUUGAAAUCUUUAUGUACACUGAAUUAAAUAGAAAGUGUUAUCUACUGGGAAAAGCUGUUAUCGCAAAACAACAGUUUUUGAAAAAAUGAAAGACUAUAUAGCGACACGUACGCGAGUUGGCAGCCCAAUGGAUAACAGACUUGACGUAAGUUACCGCCUCCAACGUUACUGGGAUACUCGGACAUUUCGCGUUUUUAUUUGAGAUGUGUUGAUAUAAUUCUCCUUAUCACGAUUUUAACGCUUUAAGCAAACAAUAAACUAAGUAGAUUCUUUCAUGCAAUAUGCAUGACGUUAGUUUCACACUCUCGCGUUGUAGCAUAAUUUUUAAUAAUCACUUGUAGUAAAAUCAUGUUUCUUACAGAACAUUAGUAAGUUAGACAUACAAUAUUGUCAUAUGCAAUAAGGAAUAACAUAUAUAAAAAUGGUUAGUUAAGGUUCGUUAUGGAACUUUAGUAGAGAAAUCUGCAUGUAUGUUUGGGGGUUGUAUAAUAUUUAACUUAUGUUAUCAGGUACGCAUUUUUCCCCUUCGCUUUGCUUGGACAACUUCCGGUCACGGUAUUUCUCCUUUUGCAUCUCCUGCGCACUGUGUGCUGUGCAAAGAAAUAUAGCGGUAAUCAAUUCAUCCAUCCAUCCAACAGUUUGUUAGGUGAUAUUGCAUACAAAGUAAACUAUUAUAAUUUUAGUAUGUGUAUAGUUGCAUGGUCACAUGUAGUUUCCCGUUUAACGCGAAAAUCUUUCAAAUUUUAUAAUGUAUUAAAGUGUCUGCAGCAUGUGCUAAUGUUAUUCCUUACACUAAGUACUGUACUGUGUAAAUGUAAGAUAUUUAAUCCACCAGUUCAUAAUACACUUGAAAAAGCUCAGUUAACUCGUAUAGCUCCUUACCAUCUUGAAACAGCUUGGACCAGCUUUGACAUGUUUAAUUUAAGUUAUUGAAGUAACCUUAAAACAGCACCACACCAGCAACGUUAAUCAGCAUGAAAAUUGUAUUGAUCUAUGCUAUUUUGUAGAAGCAUAACAAUAUAACAUUGCAUUGAAUGAUUUUUACAGGUGUUCUCAUGCGGAUGCCUGGAUCAACUUUCAAAAAAUGUAAAUCAUACAAUGUCCAAAUUUCUGUGGCUUGCAAAACCUGCAAACACUGCAGACAAAAGCAAGAAACGAAAAAAGCAAUGCAAGUUGCCAAACAAAAAAUAAAUGAGCAAUGGAAAGUUGCAAAUAAUUUCUGUAAACUUGUAAAUUCUGGGUGUACAUGUUCUGAAAUCUUUCUUGUCACAUACAUUACCUAUUUCACAGCAGAGGACUGCAGUGCUGCUGUACAAACCUCUUCUGCAGCAGCCAAUGUCCCUCAUCUGCCUGUCGCACAAUCACUUAAAGGUCCAAAAGACUCCAGUGCUGCUGUACAAACCUCUUCUGCUGCAGCCAAUGUCCCUCAUCUGUCUGUCUCACAAUCACUUAAAGGUAACACUUACGCCGGUUUCACACCGCAAGCAUGUGCAGCGCGUAUCCGUAGCGUGAGCAGUUCGUGAGGAGAGCGUUUGCUGCGCGUGUCCAUUGUGCUAUCACAACGGCUGCGUUUGCAGCACAUACUGUGCAGUUUAAUAACAGUAUAAAAAUCUCAACUUCUCAUUACUUUAUUUUACAUGCAUUAAUCAGCAAAACCUCUUCAAGAUACUUUUUGAUGGUCAGUGUAAUUUAUGUAACUGUGAUUUGUUUAACCCACAUUGUUUUCGUGCUGUUCUGGUCCGUGUAAUGACAGAUAUAGAUACACAAUUAUAAACAUAAAAAGCCCAUGGCACAUUAUUAAAUCUGUAUCUCUGAAGUUUUACGAUAAAAUAAAAAAAUCACUCAGUGAUUGACAGCAUGAAGUAGUCGAUCGUGUUUCCCUUCAACAGUUUAAGCAUAGAUUUAUAGAUGUAUCUAUUUCUCUGAAGAUUUUAGAUGAGGGCUCAUUUAGUGCUGGGCAGACAGUGAAUGACAGCGAUCUUCUGGUGUUUUUAAAGGUGCCCUUCCUCUGGCGUUUUUAUUGUUUUAGACUGUUGUCUGAGGUCUACUCAUGACGUUUGCAUGGUUUUUACAUCCAAAAACAUCAAAGCAAUAAGUAAUAGGCCAUUUUGUACCCUGAUUUUGAGGCUGGUUAGAGAAGUGAUCCGUUUUAAUGGGCGGGCUGCUUUGACGACUUGGAUGUAAACGCCCACUGCUAUGAUUGGAUAACAGUUUAUCGUUCAAACUAACUUUCAAUUUAAUCUCAUGUGUAAUCAGUUUAAUGUUAAGUGAGUGUCUUAAGACACAGUGUCUUUCUUACACACGCAUAUUUUAUCAUAAACCCUUUUGACACACACACGCGUGUCUUUUAUCGUAAACCCACGCACAAAAAAACACAUGUGUCUUUUAUCGUAAACCCUUUCGAUGCGCGUGUAGCAGCGCCCCCCCCCCCCCACACACACACACACACGUCUUUUACAUAAACCCUUCGACACGCGUGUAACGAAUGCACAAACACACACAUGUGUUUUUUAUCACAUUCAAUGCGUGUGCAUCAUGAAUUCGCGUGAAUCGCGUCCCUCUGAAGAGAAAUCCUGGCCGCAACUGAUAGUGACACAUAGUACUAAAGUGUUUUACUCACACAAACACGCUUGUCUUCUAUUAUAAACCCUUUCAAAGCGUGUGCAGCAUGAAUUCUCGUCCAUCGGAUUUGGAAGAGAAUAUACCGGCCGCCACAGUGACACAUAGUACUAAAGUGUUUUACUCACACAAACACGCUUGUCUUCUAGUCAUAAACCCUUUCAAAGUAGCCUGG